rnacentral:tRNA from 1 species
GCCGGCAUAGCUCAGUUGGUAGAGCAAUUGAUUUGUAAUCAGUAGGUCGAGGGUUCAAUUCCUUCUGUCGGCA